rnacentral:tRNA from 1 species
AUUCUUUUAGUAUUGAUCCAAUACAAUUGACUUCCAAUCAAUUAACUUCGGUGAAAACCGGAAAAGAAUA